CAUAUUCUAAAUUAUCUGAAAAUUAAGCCUUGUGAUUGUUUUUACAUUUGUAUUUUUAACAGUUUGGAUUGCAAGAGCCUCUAAUAUUUUUAAUCCCUAUUUCCUUGAGAAGACGCUCAAUAAAGAUACCUGAGGUAUUGAAAAAGGAUACUGGUCACAACAGAAAGGCAAGGAGAAACCCAGAUGGAAACAGAUACCGAAGAAGAGUCCAAAUCUCUCCACAUGUUGAUCCAUCUCACUCAUCAUGCUCUCUAUAUCACAUCCAAAAUGAAGAACUCUUCUGCAGAGAUCACUUCAGGAAGUCUUCUAGAAAGAAAAUAAAAUCAAGUACACACAAGAAGAGACUACCAGAAAGAUAUGUGCUCUGUUCUCAGUCUAGUGAAAAGUGAUAAAAAAAAGAUGUAGAUCUGCAGUUUCCGACAGGACAGCUUAUUCACACCAAGCUGAAGGAAAGUUAGGUUUGUACUGUGGGUGCUUUGGAUGGACAUGGACUCUGGGAGGAUUCCAUUACAAACAUACAAUCAAACAAGCAAAAGUAUAGCUAUUUCCACUGGAAUUCUUGAGAUGCAGUUCUGGGGAGAAGGUUAUAUUACAUGAAUGCGGCUUUUACACAGACACUGUUUUAGAAGUGUGGUUCAAAGACCUGCCAUGUGGAAACAAAUACAAGCAGAGCUCAACUACUGAUGGGUGCUAAAGGAUGAAAUAAGUCUUGUAGGACUGGAAAGUCCAGAAGCCUGCAUAAGAAGGUCACCACUUGUCAGAAGUGGAUUUAAGUUCCUCUGUUUUGUUGUAAGAUGCUGUUUUCUAAGAAUUUAUGCAGUGGUUUAUUAAAGAGGAAGAAAACAUAUGUGGCUACUCUUGCUGUUCGUGAAGGGUACAGUGACAAGCUGUGGCCUAAUCAGAGGUUCACACACGCCUGAG
rnacentral:lncRNA from 1 species